UACGUAGGGGGCAAGCGUUGUCCGGAUUUAUUGGGCGUAAAGCGCUCGCAGGUGGUCCGUCGCGUCGUGCGUGAAAUACCCCGGCUCAACUGGGGGGGGUCGUGCGAUACGGGCGGACUGGAGGCCAGUAGGGGGAUGCGGAAUUCCGGGUGUAGUGGUGGAAUGCGUAGAGAUCCGGAGGAACACCAGCGGCGAAGGCGGCAUCCUGGACUGGUCCUGACACUCAGGAGCGAAAGCGUGGGGAGCAAACGGG
rnacentral:rRNA from 1 species